ACGCUUCCACAGGCCAUUUCCCAGCAAGGUCGAGCGGAAACGAUCCCAGCUUUGCUGGGAGGGCGUUCAAGCGCCGGGACGGGUGAGUAAUGCAUAGGAAUCUGCCCGGUAGUGGGGGAUAACUUGAGGAAACUCAAGAAAUACCGCAUACGCCCUACGGGGAAAAGCAGGGGCUCUUCGGACCUUGCGCUAUCGGAUGAGCUUAUGUCGGAUUACCUAGUUGGUGAGGUAACGGGCUCACCCAGGGCUUGCGAUCCGUAGCUGGUUUGAGAGAAUGAUCAGCCACACCGGGACUGAGACACGGCCCGGACUUCCUACGGAGGCAGCAGUGGGGAAUAUUGGACAAUGGGCGAAAGCCUGAUCCAGCCAUGCCGCGUGUGUAAGAAGGCCCUCGGGUUGUAAGCACUUUUCAGCGGGAAGAAGGCGUGGCGGUUAAUACCCGCCACGAAGACAUCACCCGCAGAAGAAGCACCGGCUAACUCCGUGCCAGCAGCCGCGGUAAUACGGAGGGUGCAAGCGUUAAUCGAAUUACUGGGCGUAAAGGGCGCGUAGGCGGCCUGUCACGCCGGGUGUGAAAGCCCCGGGCUCAACCCGGAACGGCAUCCGGAACGGGCAGGCUCGAGUGCAGGAGAGGAAGGUAGAAUUCCCGGUGUAGCGGUAAAUGCGUAGAGAUCGGAGAAUUCCAGUGGCGAAGGCGGCCUUCUGACCUACACUGACGCUGGACGCGAAACGCUGGAAUCUGUUAUUAUACCCCCGGUGUCCAUCCCGUAAGGAUGUGACCAGCCGUGCUCCUCAAGAAGCUGGGGCGCAGUAACGCGCAAGUCGCCCCCUUGGGAGUCGGCCGCAAGGCUAAACUCAAAUAAAUUGACGGGGCCCGCCAAGCGGGUGGAGCAUGUGGUUAUUCGAAUCAACGCGAAGACCUUACCUCCCUUACAUCCCGGAAUCCGCCGGAGACGGCGAGUGCCUUCGGAACCCGAGACAGGUGCUGCAUGGCUGUCGUCAGCUCGUGUUGUGAAAUGUUGGGUUAANUCCCGAACGAGCGCAACCCCUAUCCCCAUUUCCAGCGGUUCGCCCGGGAACUCUGGGGAGACUGCCGGUGACAAACCGGAGGAAGGUGGGGACGACGUCAAGUCAUCAUGGCCCUUACGGGCAGGGCUACACACGUGCUACAAUGGCGAGUACAAAGGGUUGCGAAGCGGCGACGUGAAGCCAAUCCCGUAAAGCUCGCCUCAGUCCGGAUUGGAGUCUGCAACUCGACUCCAUGAAAGUCGAAUCGCUUGUAUCGCGCAUCAGAAUGGCGCGGUGAAAAAAUUCCCGGGCCUUGUACACACCGCCCGUCACACC
rnacentral:rRNA from 1 species